rnacentral:rRNA from 1 species
UGGGGAAUUUUCCGCAAUGGGCGAAAGCCUGACCGGAGAGCAAUACCGCGUGAGGGAAGAAGGUCUUUGGAUCGUAAACCUCUUUUCUCAGGGAAGAAGUUCUGACGGUACCUGAGGAAUAAGCCUCGGCUAACUCCGUGCCAGCAGCCGCGGUAAUACGGAGGAGGCAAGCGUUAUCCGGAAUUAUUGGGCGUAAAGCGUUCGCAGGUGGCUCGUCAAGUCUGCUGUCAAAGACCGGAGCUUAACUCCGGGUAGGCGGUGGAAACUGAAGAGCCUUAGAGUGCGGUAGGGGUAGAGGGAAUUCCCAGUGUAGCGGUGGAAAUGCGUAGAGAUUGGGAAGAACACCGGUGGCGAAAGCGCUCUACUAGGCCGCAACUGACACUUCAGGGCCGAAAGCUAGGGGAGCGAAUGGGAUUAGAUA